rnacentral:lncRNA from 10 species
UGGAACAAUCAUUAGGAUGUCUGAGUCCUUAUCACUCGUGCGCAGCACAACACGACCGUGGGCACAGGGUUGAAGGCGGUUCCCUACGCCUAGCCUCUCGAUAGGAACCUUCAGGGACGGGUGGACUUAAAGGAGCCGGUGGCCUUAAGAGUCCAGUCGAUGCUGCCACGUGAUGGGCCUGGGGGAAAGCCCCGAUCCCAAGCGCCAACAGAGCAGCCGACCUCAGCCAACCUCAACCAACACGUAGGCGAGGAUGCCCAGGGUGAGCGCCAGCGGCGAGAAGACGCGCUAUCGCGAGAUCGGUGGGACCUACGCGUUUACAGGCCGGAAGUGAGGGGCGGGCCUAAGGGGGCGCGCUCCUUUUGAAACCUGAGACGGAGACCUGCGGAGGGCGAGGGCUGGUUGGAGGUCGCUGUCCUUUCUGGGAACCAAGCAGGGGUCGCAGGAGGGCGGGGAUGGGUCAGCGGGGAUCUCUGAGUGGGGUUCGGCUGAGAGAGGCCACAGUUUCAUCUUUGGGAAGCUACCCUGGGCCGGCCACGCGCCGUGAGCCGGACUGGCGACGCCCCCCUGCCUCCACCGUGCUCCUUCACCCGAGAAAUUCAGCUCAGCCCCAGCCUCUCGGCAACCUCCCUUUGGCUCCGCCUUUUAAAGGACCUUUACGGCAGCUGCAUUUUGGAAGCUUCCUCUGAUCAAAGAUACCCAUUCAUCCAACAUUUAUUUAUGAAAUGCCUGUUGUUUCCCAGGCAUUGUUCUAGGCACUGAGAACAGGACAGAUUCCAGGAGAAGGAGAAGUCCAGGAACACAAAAAGAUAGAAAGAAAUACUCAGAAGUGCCAUAUUUUUUACCUUUUCAUUGAUACUACCAGAAAAGGGAAAAAAUAAAUACUGUUUGAUUUUGCCACCAGGCACCACAAAACUGCGCCCCUGCCUGAUUUCAUUUCAGCAAGCUUUACUGUGAAGUGUUUAUGUGCCAGGUACCAUGUGUAGAAGCGCUGGCCCAGAGAUGAAGAUGAAGUUUCUAUCCUUAAGGCAUGCAAUGUGGGAGAUGAACAGGGACAGGCAAGAGAGCCACAGAAGAGAAAGUGAUGUGAAGACAGAAGCAGGGAUUGGAGUGAUCCAUCUACAAGCCAAGAAAUACCAAUGGUUGCUGCCAGCCACCAGGAUCUAGGAGAGUGGCAUGGAACAGAUUUUCCCUUAGAGCUUCCAGAAAGAACUAACCCUGUCAACACUGUGAUUCUGGACAGUGGAAGAAUGUACACUGGGAACAGCACAUGCAAAAGUCCUGGGCAGAAGCUGGUCUGGAGGAUUUGAGGAACUGCAAGGAAGCAGCGAUGACUAGAGAGGCAUGAGGGAAAAAAAAGGCAGUAAAUGAGGUCAUGAAGAUGAUGGAAGGGGGCAAGGUCGGAUUAGCUGGUUUGGUUCUCUAUUUCUGCAUGAGAAACUAUCUCAAGUUUUGUGGCUUAAAACAACCACCUUUUUGUAUCUCACAAUUGGUGGAUCAGGAAUUUGGACAAAAUUCAACUGGGCAUUUUUUUCUGCUCUACUAGCAUCAAAUAAGGUCACUCUGAUGUUCACUGGCAGAUGGGUUGGUCUGUAGGAUUCCACGUGGUUUCACUCUCAUGUUUGGUGCCUGGGGGAGAUAGCUGGAAGGCUGGGUUCAGCUAGGCCCCUCUUCCUCUCCAUGUAGUCUCAGGGCCUCUCCAUGUGGUCUCUAUUAGAAUAGCUGGAUUUCUUACAUGGUGUCUGAAGGUUCCAAGAGCAAGUGUUUCAAGAGACAGGAAAUAGAAAAUGCCAGUCUUCUAAGGCCUGGACACAGAAACAGACACAGUGGCACUUCUGCCAUAUUUCUAGUAGAGACGGGGUUUCACCACGUUGGCCAGGCUGGUCUCG